GCAGGUGUGGCUUAGUCGGUUGGAGCGUCGGCCUGUGCGCCCAAGGGUCGUGGGUUCGAUUCCCAGUGACGGCA
rnacentral:tRNA from 1 species